UACGAAGGGGGCUAGCGUUGCUCGGAAUUACUGGGCGUAAAGGGAGCGUAGGCGGAUAGUUCAGUCAGAGGUGAAAGCCCAGGGCUCAACCUUGGAACUGCCUUUGAUACUGGCUAUCUUGAGUUUGGGAGAGGUGUGUGGAACUCCGAGUGUAGAGGUGAAAUUCGUAGAUAUUCGGAAGAACACCAGUGGCGAAGGCGACACACUGGCCCAAUACUGACGCUGAGGCUCGAAAGCGUGGGGAGCAAACAGGAUUAGAAACCCCAGUAGUCC
rnacentral:rRNA from 1 species